rnacentral:lncRNA from 1 species
GGUUCAGUGUUAAUAAGGAGUGACUGUUAGAAAUCUGUUGAUCGUUAAUAAGUUUGAAGAUUAAUUAGGACAUAAAUAAAGUUGUAGCUCCUAUUUAGAAAAGUAUAGAAUUCAAUAUGGUUUUUUGUACCUUUCCCUUAAUUUGAUUUCUAAUACAGGCUAAGGAUUCCUUGUUUUCUUUUUAACCUUUGUUUGAUACAUUCGGUGAUUCAACAAAUUUGAUUUCUAAAAAUUAGACUCCUCGCUAAUUGGAAUUAUUUACAUAUUGAUGACAAAUUAUCAUACCAACAUUUAUAUGUCAAAUAUUAAUUGUUUGAACUGUAAGACCUUAAGCAAUAAAGGACCAAUACGUAACACUAUUAUAAGGUCACGCAUAGAAAAUGAAGUGUGAAAUAAAACCCUUGUUUUGUGUUCUUAAAACCUGCAAGCACGAAAAACAUGGAGAGAAUAAGAUAUUUGUGUAUUUGAAACACCUCCAAACACAACUGUACAUGUAUUGCAAUGCGUAAAGAAAAUAACAUGACACAAUGUUUGUUUAUGUGAUGAUAAAUAAGAAUGCAUGUUCCCAUUCUCAUUUGCAUUGACAACUAGCUAUAAUGACAACAACUACAAUAUUAACCACCACUAUCUUCAGUCUUCUCAUGGUGUUUAAUACAUGUAUAACUGCAAGCGAAUGUCCUCCAACUCACAAACAUAAAUCAUCUGACAUAGAAGUAUUAAGGAAGAGGUUUCAAGGUUGGCUUAAACGACACGGUCGAAAAUACAAAGAUAAUGAAGAAUGGGAAGUCCGUUUUGGCGUUUACCAAGCAAAUGUUGAGUACAUAAAGUGCAUAAACUUACAAAAAAACUCCUACAAUCUCACAGACAAUAAAUUUGCAGAUCUUACAAAUGAAGAGUUUAGAAGUACUUAUAUGGGCUUAAGUACUAGGUUGCAUUCACAUACAGGGUUCAGGUAUGAUGAACAUGGGGAUAUUCCAGACAGCAAGGAUUGGAGGAAGGAGGGAGCAGUCACUGAAGUUAAGGAUCAAGGCCAAUGUGGUAAUGUUUUCUUGUUAAGUAUCAAAUUAUUUAUUUCAGUUUCACCAGAUUUUGCAUUUCAUGCUAUGUAACUAAACAUUUUUUUAAAAUAAGAGCAUAUUUGAAUUGACUAAUUUAAGACUGUUUGAGAGAGUUUAUAGAAACAACUUAUGACAUGUCCAUCAAUUAUUUUUAGUUUAUUUUUGUAAACUUUCUAAGAUAGCUUAUAAAAACAACUUAUAACUUACAUGAAAACAAUUUUAUUUUAUCUUUUGUUAUAGAAAUAGUUUAUACAUAAACACUUCAACGUUUAUGUUAUAAGCGCUUAAUUAAGUUAUCCAAACAUGGCUUAAAUUCUCUUUUAGAACUUCAAGAUAUCCACCGCCUUGAUCACAUUGAUUUUGGAGCUUGAUCAAGUAAUUGAAUUCCUUGAAAAGAGCAAAGCAAAUCAAAGAGACAUGGCUUAAGGAACAUUCUUUCUUAACUUUUAACUUUGGUAUUGUAAGAAACAUUGAUGUUUUAAUUUAAGGAUCAUUCUUUGAAGAUGGUCUCGAUUUGUCUGUUGAGACAUGUUUUAACUACUAUGAAGUUAUGUCUUUAUGUAUGCAGGAAGUUGUUGGGCAUUUUCUGCAGUUGCAGCUGUAGAAGGCAUCCACAAAAUAAAAACAGGGGAGUUGGUGUCUCUGUCUGAACAAGAACUGGUAGAUUGUGAUGUUAAAAAUGGUAACCAAGGCUGCGAAGGUGGUUUAAUGGAAACAGCAUUUACAUUCAUCGUAAAAAAUGGUGGACUAACCACUGAGAAAGAGUAUCCUUAUGAAGGUGUAGAUGGUACCUGUAACAAGGAAAAAGCUGCACAUCAUGCUGUGAGUAUAAGCGGAUAUGAAGAAGUGCCUGCUGAAAACGAGGCUAAGCUUAAAGCUGCAGCUUCUCAUCAACCUGUCUCUGUUGC